CAUGUUCAGCCGACGUUCAACACGAAUGCGGACGGACGUUGCUGUUCUUCAUUAAGAAUUUAUCUCUGGAAGACUGAAAAUAAGGCAUUGAGGUGUAAGAAGAUAGAAGAAGACCAUUGGAAGACAUAAUUGGAACAUCAGGAUGAAAGCAACCUUCACUUCCCAACAGGAGUUUCUAGGUAAUCCUGUUCAAGAAAGAUCCAUUUCUUUCCAGUAAAAUAUACAAGCAGCCUUUAUGCCAUGGCUUCACUCCUUUGGAAAGCCAACAGU